rnacentral:rRNA from 1 species
GAUUAGUUAGUUGGUUUUUGAGUUAAAAGCUCACCAAGACUUUUAUCAGUAGCUAUUCUUUGCGGAUGUAUAGCCACACUGGGACUGAGAAAGGCCCAGACUCUUACGGGAGGCAGCAGUGGGGAAUAUUGGACAAUGAGCGAAAGCUUGAUCCAGCAAUGUUACGUGUGUGAUGAAGGGAAACUGUAAAACACUUUUUUUUAAGAAUAAGAAAUUUUAACUAAUAAUUAAAAUUUUUGAAUGUAUUAAAAGAAUAAGUACCGGCUAAUCACGUGCCAGCAGCCGCGGUAAUACGUGGGGUGCUAGCGUUAAUCAAAAUCAAUGGGCGUAAAGCGUGCUAAGGCUGUUUAAAAAGAUUUAUAUUAAAUUUUAAUUUUUUAAUAAGUAUAAAUUACUAUUAAACUUGAGUGUAGUAUAAGAAAAUAGAAUUUUAUGUGUAGCGGUGAAAUGUGUUGAUAUAUAAAAGAAUGCCGAAGGCGAAAGCAGUUUUCUCGACUAUUUUACUGACGCUGAUGCACGAAAGCGUGGGUAGCAAACAGGAUUAGAUACCCUGGUAGUCCACGCCGUAAACAAUGUCAAUUAGCUAUUAGAAAAUUUUUUUAGUGGCGUAGCUAACGCGUUAAAUUGACCGCCUGGGGACUACGAUCGCAAGAUUAAAACUCAAAGGAAUUGACGGGGACCAGCACAAGCGGUGGAUGAUGUGGAUUAAUUCGAUGAUACGCGAAAAACCUUACCUACUCUUGACAUGGUUGGAAUUUUAUUGAAAAAUAAAAGUGCUUGAAAAAGAACCAACACACAGGUGUUGCAUGGCUGUCGUCAGCUCGUGUCGUGAGAUGUUGGGUUAAGUCCCGCAACGAGCGUAACCCUUACUCUUAGUUGCUAAUUAAAGAACUUUAAGAGAACUGCCAAUGAUAAAUUAGGAGGAAGGAGGGGAUGACUUCAAGUCCUCAUGGCCCUUAUGAGUAGGGCUUCACACGUCAUACAAUGGUUGAUACAGUAAGUUGCAAUGUCGUGAGACUGAGCUAAUCUUUAAAAUCAAUCUUAGUUCGGAUUGUACUCUGCAACUCGAGUACAUGAAGCAGGAAUCGCUAGUAAUCG